CCUGAGCGUCAUGUGAGCGCGCUGACGUCAUCUCGUAGCUCGACGUUGACCAGUGGUUGCUAGGAGGGGAAGUUCUUAGCAAGGAGAGGGCGACCCGCCAAAAGAAGAGGUAGAAGGGAACAUGGCGAGGGAGGCGCUUCUCAAGGUGUGGUUGUGUAGACAUCACUGGACGUUAAUGCAGAGGACGAGGCAGGUACCACUGAUUUCCUCUGCCAUCUUCAGGCGACAGCUUAGCUCCCAGCCCAUGAGUUAUGUUCGCCAACAAGGCCUGUACAAAAAGCUGCUCCUCGGGGCAGUGGUUGGUGUCCCGCUGGCUGCUGGUGCUGUAUUUAGCUUAUCAGAUGCCCGUGACCGACGGAGAAUGAAGCUCCUGUUUGAAGGUGUUAGUCGCUUCUACAGAUCCAUUUACUUUGGAAUAAAAAUCUCUACAGAUUACUGGUGGACAAUUAAUGUUAAACUACAUGGAAUGGAUGAGAACAGCCAGGACUUCAUAGACACAAUGUCCGCCUGCCACCAGCGAGGGGCAGACCUCAUCGUGGAGGGAGCAAUUAAGAACUCAGGUUUGUACAUCAAGCUGGGGCAGGGGCUGUGCGCCUUCAACCAUCUGCUCCCGCCGGAGUACACCAACACUCUGCGAAUUCUAGAGGACAAGGCCAUCAACAGGAGGUACAAGGAGGUCGAUGCAUUGUUCCUUGAAGAUUUUCAAACCACUCCGGAUAAGUUGUUCAAAUGCUUCGACCAGAAGCCAUUCGCAGCUGCCAGUCUAUCUCAGGUCCACAAGGCAGAGCUGUAUGAUGGGACAUCAGUGGCUGUUAAAGUGCAGUUCAUUGAUCUACGGGAUCGAUUCGAUGGAGACAUUAUGACACUGGAGUUUCUCUUGGGUCUAGUUCAGUUGAUGCAUCCAAAGUUUGCAUUCCGCUGGGUCCUUCAGGACCUGAAGGGGACGCUAGCCCAGGAACUGGACUUCGAGAAUGAAGGCCGUAAUGCAGAGCGAUGUGCACGAGAUCUCAGUCACUUCAAAUUUAUUGUCAUUCCCAAGGUGUACUGGGAGCAGACCAGCAAGCGAAUCCUGACCGCUGAUUACUGUGAGGGCUGUAAAGUCACCAACAUUGAUGAAAUCGAGCAGCAGGGCUUGAGUGUCAAAGAUGUUGCAGACAAACUGGUCAGGACUUUUGCAGAGCAGAUAUUUUACACUGGGUUCAUCCACGCUGACCCCCAUCCUGGGAAUGUGUUGGUUAGGAAAGGUCCUAAUGGGAAAGCAGAACUGGUGCUCCUAGAUCAUGGACUGUAUGAAAACCUGAAUGUAAAGGACCGGAUUAAUCUCUGCAAACUCUGGCGUUCCAUCAUCCUCCUCAAUGAUCCUGCUAUGAAGAAAUUCGCCAAUGAGCUAGGUGUCAAAGAUUACUUCCUAUUCUGUGAGAUCCUGAUGCAACGGCCAAUCAACAUGCGGGAGACAGCCUUUCAGCUGGCUAAUAUCUUGACAGGGGAGGAGAGGGCCUACAUGCAGGACAUGGCCAGCAACCACUUUGACAGGAUUAUCCAGGUGCUGAAGGAUCUGCCGCGGCCUAUGCUGCUCGUCUUCCGGAACAUCAACACUGUCCGCUGCAUUAAUGUCAUUCUGGGCUCGCCUGUUGACCGAUAUGUCCUGAUGGCUAGAAGUGCGGUUCGAGCACAAAGUCUGUUAACAAAUAAACACAACAGGGGAUUUUGGACAGUUGGUGCUUUCAAGUGGAUGAAGAUGAAGUGGGCCAGCCUCCAAUUUGAGAUGAGUCUCCGGUAAGCCAGGAGAAUUCUAGCAAAGCAGUUGUGCCUGGAAGAGAUUUCUAUAAAGACUCUGAGGUCUGAAAGCCUGAUGAUGAAGAUAGUCUCCAUCCUUAUACGAUUGUUUGUUUACUUUGGCCUGAUAGCACCAGAUGAAGAACUGUACAGUUACCUGGAGUAGCAGCGUGCUGGGCUGUCGCUCGGAAACUUCUGACAGAUGUGAGAAUCUAAUGGACCUGUUUUUGGAAAUCUUGGUCCCUUUUUACCUCACAAAGCAGAACAGAGUUGGACUGUCGUGGCCACCAAACCAAGCUGCUGUGAUCCUUUUACAAGGCUCAAGGUUAAAUGGAAGAAGAAGGAUUCGAAUUCUCAUUCCUCAGAUGGCGCUGUAAACAUAGCACUGCAGACCGUACUGCAAGAAGCUAUAGCCUAAACCAGUUCAGUUAAACCAGCAGAUAGGCAUUUACUCACCUUGUACCAUAGGGCUGAGAAAUUCAGCGUUGUUUCUGUUUCUCCACAGUAAGAUUACUGUGCAGUUUCCUUGUGCCAAAGGCCAUAAAUCACAUGAUGAAAUACAUCGAUCAGAAGUUUGUCAAUGUGCUUUUUGGAUGAAAAUUUUAACUCUUGGUAUUGAAACUCUCAUCUCUGCCUCUCCCAGUCCCAUGACAGAAUUUCUACUCUAUUUGUGAGAAAAGUCAUGAAUUAGAUAAAGCCCAUUGAAUCUCACCUCUCUGACCUAGUAACUCUCUCAUCAUCAUGGUACUUAACUGUAUUUUGAAUAACUUUAUUGCUGACAUUAAAUAAAGAUGUUUUUUCCUAAUA